rnacentral:rRNA from 1 species
UACGUAGGGUGCGAGCGUUGUCCGGAAUUAUUGGGCGUAAAGAGCUCGUAGGCGGUCUGUUGCGUCGGCUGUGAAAACCCGGGGCUCAACUCCGGGCCUGCAGCCGAUACGGGCAGACUAGAGUUCGGCAGGGGAGACUGGAAUUCCUGGUGUAGCGGUGAAAUGCGUAGAUAUCGUGGAGAACACCCGUGGCGAAGGCGGGCUUCUGGCUAACAACUGACGCUGAGGUGCGAAAGCUAGGGGAGCGAACGGG